GUGAAGAUGGAAACAGGGCAGCUAAGGCAGGAGAUAUCUUUCUAACAGGAAGGACCACCUUAACUGAAUGGAAAUGAAAACUUGCAAACAAGGUCAGAUGGCUCCAAUGAAUCAAAGUAAACAAUAAAAGUAAAAUGAAAAGUUUGGCACAUGGCCAAUCUAAAUAAUAAAAGAUCCUGACAGUCUUUCCACCUUUUUAUUUGAGUCAGAUGCCCACAGAAGUAUUAUUUUAAUUUUUGGGAAAAGUUGGAGCUGCAUUUUGCAAGUGUGGAUUGGAUUGAGAAUGGAAUAGAAUGAUCCUGAAGUUGAAACUCAAGUACUUUGGCCACCAAAUGAGAAGGAAGGACUCACUGGAG